CGGAGAGUGGCGCAGCCUGGUAGCGCACCUGCUUCGGGAGCAGGGGGUCGCAGGUUCGAAUCCUGUUUCUCCGA
rnacentral:tRNA from 1 species